GACGAACGCUGGCGGCGUGCUUAACACAUGCAAGUCGAACGGAAAGGCCCCUUCGGGGGUACUCGAGUGGCGAACAGGUGAGUAACACGUGAGUAACCUGCCCUUGACUUCGGGAUAACUUCAGGAAACUGGGGCUAAUACCGGAUAGGAAUCCUUGCUGCAUGGUGGGGGUUGGAAAGCUUCGGCGGUUUUGGAUGGACUCGCGGCUUAUCAGCUUGUUGGUGGGGUAGUGGCUUACCAAGGCUUUGACGGGUAGCCGGCCUGAGAGGGCGACCGGCCACAUUGGGACUGAGAUACGGCCCAGACUCCUACGGGAGGCAGCAGUGGGGAAUAUUGCACAGUGGGCGGAAGCCUGAUGCAGCAACGCCGCGUGCGGGAUGACGGCCUUCGGGUUGUAAACCGCUUUCAGCAGGGGCGAAGCUUGUGGUGACGGUACCUGCAGAAGAAGCACCGGCUAACUACGUG
rnacentral:rRNA from 1 species